rnacentral:lncRNA from 1 species
CUAUGGGGUCUUUUGGGUCCCUAUGGGGUCUUUGGGGUCCCUAUAGGGUUACAUUGGGGUCCCUAUGGGGUCUUUGGGGUCCCUAUAGGGUUACAUUGGGGUCUCUAUGGGGUCACUUUGGGAUCUAUGGGGUCCCUAUGGGAUCAAUGGGGUUCUAUGGGGGGAUGGCAGCGUCCAAUGGGAUCGCCCGUUGGCUCAAAGCCCCGCCCCCUUUUACCCCCCCCCAUUCUCCCAUAGGCUGUUGGGGUUGGGCCGCGUGUUGCGUUACGCGCAGGCGCAGUGGCUGGCGGAUAUCCGGCGCCAUCAACUUCCGGCGCUGCUGGGCGGAAUGGCGCCGGUCCGGGCCGUGAUCGGCAUGUGUGAGUGUGGGCCGGAACCAUAGAGACACCAUAGAGAUCAAUAGAGCGCCCCCUAGCGGCUCGGAGGACUCAUUGCAACCCAUAGGGAUCAAUAGAGCGCCCCCUAGCGGCUCGGAGGACUCAUUGCAACCCAUAAGGAUCAAUAGAGACCCCAUUGAGAUCAAUAGAUCGCCCCCUAGCGGCUCGGAGGACUUAUUGCAAUCCAUAAGGAUCAAUAGAGACCCCAUUGAGAUCAAUAGAGCGCCCCCUAGCGGCUCGGAGGACUCAUUGCAAUCCUUAGGGAUUAAUAGGGAGACAUUGAGACCCCAUAGAGAUAUAUAGAGACCCCAUAGAGAUACAUAGGGACCCAUAGGGACACAUAGAGACCCCAUAGAGACCCAUAGGGACCCCAUAGACCCUAUAGAGACCCAUAGCUGGCUCAUAGCUGACCCAUAGAGACCCUAUAGAGAUACAGAGAGGCCCCAUUGACCCCAUAGAGACACAUAGGGACACAUAGAGACCCCAUAGAGACACAUAGGGACACAUAGAGACCCCAUAGAGAGCUAUAGGGACGCAUAGGGACCCCAUAGGGACACAUAGGGACACAUAGAGACACAUAGAGACCCCAUAGGGACACAUAGAGACCCCAUACAGACACAUAGAGACCCCAUAGAGACCCCAUAGAGACCCAUAGAGACCCCAUAGCAGACCCAUAGCUGACCCACAUCACAACCCAGACCCACAGCAGACCCACAUCUGACCCACAUGGG